ensembl:lncRNA
GGGUUUGUAAUUAUUAUUAUUUAUUUAUUUUGGGUACCGGGGAUUGAACUUGGGACCUUGUGCCUGCGAGGCAGGCGACGUGUGUUUGUAAUUAUUAAACACGAGGAAGACCACAGGUAUCCACAGAGGGUAGCUCUGGUUCUUUAGCAGAAGUAGCUGUUUUCCAAACCGAGUUCCGACUGCCAUGAAGGCAAUGCUGGGUCCCCUCUGGGGGAUUGGGAGCAGUGUAGGCCUGGGCAAACAGUGCAGCUGAGGCCAUGGGUACCAAGGCUGGGAGGGGGUGGAGAGGAUGCCAGAAAGCAGGCAGCAGCUCCAGGGAGACAGAGAAGGGCUUGAUUCCACCCUCUGCUCCUGCACAGGGGCCUGUGUGACUCAGCUGUGAUGUCACACAGUGUUGCCAGGUGACCCAGCUGGAUAGAAAAGCUCAUUGUAUUUCCAGAAUUGGCCAGAGAGAGGCUAAACUCUCUUCACCUUUCUGGAAGGUUCCCAGCUUCACCCACAGAACCUCUCCUUCCUGAGAAAGAUCCAGACACUGUCACUGCCCACAUUUCCCUUUUCCUGGCUCAGCCCAGAGCUGGUGUAUGGCAGUCCUGAGACCACACUAACACUGAGGUCCCCAAGCCACCUAUCAGGGAAGGACUGACACCCAGUCACCCACCCAGACCCAGACACUGGUCUCGGAGCUUGAUAGACAAGGCUGGAUGCACCUGCCCUGAGAGAAUGGGCCGGAAAAAGAACAAAGCAGUUGCUCUACCACUGAGCCACACCGCCAGCCCCAUGUCAUCUUUUGAAAAGGCUCUCCUGCUUCAGAUGCCACAAACUCUGGACCUACUAACGAAUCCCCAG